GCGAGACGGGUGGACCGGCGAACGGUGGCAACCGAUAAACUGCAGUCGGAACGUGAUCAGGCGCAGCCUCUGGUGUGGUUCCAACAAAUGAUCAGCCAGCAGCCGCUGCAACCCCAGGGAG
rnacentral:sRNA from 1 species